rnacentral:lncRNA from 1 species
UUAUUAUUUCUGCUGCGAAUAUUGAUCUGAAAUUUGUUGUCUAUUGUAUUUUAUCAGAUUUUUCCCUGUUGAAGACUAACGAUAAUUUGUUCUAUAUUAUCUUAGUCAUAAUAUUCUUUACUGGGCUAGUUGAGCUCACCAUUUUCCUUUUUGUUCCAUUUUUCUUCUCAGGAGGCGAGAAUGUAGCGAGUUCUAGUCGGGGUGUGGAAUGAUGGUUCUAGAAAGUUGUUUUAG